CCCGUGGUCUGGCUUGAAAGACUGAUGCGCGAUAAGUAGAAGAUUCGUUCUUAGAGAGUCAAACUGAAUGCUGCGCUACGCCGGAUCCAAGCCCAAACACCUUGGGUUGAGUCCAACCUGAACCCGGUCUGGCCUGCCCAUGAAGCAGAUCUAUACAGCAUCUAUAGCUGACACGUCUUAUAGUUGCUGGCCCAGACAAUGGGCUAUCAACAGUGAUAUAUAUAUC
rnacentral:lncRNA from 1 species